rnacentral:rRNA from 1 species
AGGGUGUAAACGCUGCGGACUUGGUGUUGGAAGCCCUUUGGGGGCAUUCAGUGCCGGAGAGAAGUUGUUAAGUCUGCUACUUGGGGAGUACGUCCGCAAGGAUGAAACUUAAAGGAAUUGGCGGGGGGAGCACCGCAACGGGAGGAGCGUGCGGUUUAAUUGGAUUCAACACCGUAAAACUCACCAGGGAAGACUGUUACAUGAAGGCCGAGAUGAAGACUCUGCUAGAUUUUCAGAGAGGUGGUGCAUGGCGUCAGUGACU